rnacentral:rRNA from 1 species
AGUGAACGCUGGCGGUAGGCCUAACACAUGCAAGUCGAACGGCAGCACAGUAAGAGCUUGCUCUUACGGGUGGCGAGUGGCGGACGGGUGAGGAAUACAUCGGAAUCUACUUUUUCGUGGGGGAUAACGUAGGGAAACUUACGCUAAUACCGCAUACGACCUACGGGUGAAAGCAGGGGAUCUUCGGACCUUGCGCGAUUGAAUGAGCCGAUGUCGGAUUAGCUAGUUGGCGGGGUAAAGGCCCACCAAGGCGACGAUCCGUAGCUGGUCUGAGAGGAUGAUCAGCCACACUGGAACUGAGACACGGUCCAGACUCCUACGGGAGGCAGCUGUGGGGAAUAUUGGACAAUGGGCGCAAGCCUGAUCCAGCCAUACCGCGUGUGUGAAGAAGGCCUUCGGGUUAUAAAGCCCUUUUGUUGGGAAAGAAAAGCAGCAGGUUAAUACCCCGCUGUUCUGACGGUACCCAAAGAAUAAGCACCGGCAAACUUCGU